AUGAACGCUGGCGGCKUGYUUAACACAUGCAAGUCGAACGGGGAACAUUUUAAAGAAGCUUCGGCAGAUUUAGUUUGUUCCUAGUGGCGGACGGGUGAGUAAYGCGUGGGUAACCUGCCUCACAMUGGGGGAUAACAGUCAGAAAUGACUGCUAAUWCCGCAUAAGCGCACAGAGSUGCAUGGCUCAGUGUGAAAAACUCCGGUGGUGUGAGAUGGACCCGCGUUGGAUUAGCCAKUUGGCAGGGUAACGGCCUACCAAAGCGACGAUCCAUAGCYGGCCUGAGAGGGUGGACGGCCACAUUGGGWCUGAGACACGGCCCAGACUCCUACGGGAGGCAGCAGUGGGGAAUAUUGCACAAUGGGGGAAACCCUGAUGCAGYGACGCCGCGUGAAGGAAGAAGUAUCUCGGUAUGUAA
rnacentral:rRNA from 1 species